rnacentral:rRNA from 1 species
CGAAUUCGCCCUUCCGAAUUCGUCGACUUCCGGUUGAUCCCGCCGGAGAUCACUGCUAUUGGAAUUCGGCUAAGGCAUGCGAGUCGAGAGGGUUCGGCCCUCGGCAGACGGCUCAGUAACACGUGGACAAUCUGCCCUUAGGUGGGGGAUAAUCUCGAGAAAUUGAGCAUAAUACCCCAUAGUUCUAGAUUGCUGGAAUGCUUUUAGAAUCAAAGCUCUGGCGCCUAAGGAUGAGUCUGCGGCCUAUCAGGUUGUAGUGAGUGUAACGGACUCACUAGCCGACGACGGGUACGGGUCCUGGAAGGGAGUGCCCGGAGAUGGACUCUGAGACACGAGUCCAGGCCCUACGGGGCGCAGCAGCUACGAAAACUUCACAAUGCGGGAAACCGCGAUGAGGGAAUUCCAAGUGCUAAUACUUUGUAUUAGCUGUUUACUUGCCUAAAAAGCAGGUAGAGUAAGGGCUGGGUAAGACUGGUGCCAGCCGCCGCGGUAAUACCAGCAGCUCGAGUGGUGAUCGUUUUUAUUGGGCCUAAAGCGUCCGUAGCCGGUCUGGUAAACCCUUGGGUAAAUCGGGCAGCUUAACUGUUCGAAUUCUGGGGAGACUGCUGGACUUGGGACCGGGAGAGGUCGGAGGUACUCCAGGGGUAGGGGUGAAAUCCUGUAAUCCUUGGGGGACCACCGGUGGCGAAGGCGUCCGACCAGAACGGGUCCGACGGUAAGGGACGAAGCCCUGGGGCGCAAACCGGAUUAGAUACCCGGGUAGUCCAGGGUGUAAACGCUGCGCGCUUGGUGUUGGGGGUCUUACGUGGGCAUCCAGUGCCGGAGAGAAGUUGUUAAGCGCGCCGCCUGGGGAGUACGGUCGCAAGACUGAAACUUAAAGGAAUUGGCGGGGGAGCACAGCAACGGGAGGAGCGUGCGGUU